AAACCCACUUAUUUUUUAAAAGAAAAAAGGAAAAAAGUAAAAAAACAAACCACCCCCACACCCACACCCACACGUCUUAUCUUCUUCGUCUCUCUUCUUUCUUUUUCUCCUCUCCUCAUCUCCUGCAUCUCUCUUUUUCUCUCAUGGUCUGCAUCUGCAUCUUUCUUCUUUCCUUACUCUCUUCUGUCUCUUGUUCACUGAAAUUGAAGUAUCGAACCCAGAAAUCUGCUUAAGCCUUGAGGACGUCUGCUUUGCUGCUUGAAGAAUUGAAGAUUGCAAAUUGAAAGCCCAGAAAGUAUUCAAACUUCAAAGCACCGUGUUGGAGAGAGAGAAUAGAGGGAGAGAGGCUGUGCGGCGAGGUUGGUGUAUAGGUUUCUGAUCGGUUUGGUAUUGUGUUUUGUGGAAGAGUUGAAAAAAAAAAAAAAAAACACUGAAAUGCCUAAUCGCCGACCUCCCAGCGCCCAGAGAGACCUGCCCAGCACCGCCUAGGCCGCCUAGGCGACCGACUUUCUGCCCAGCGCCUAGCUUGAUCGACUAGGCCAGAAUCAGAACAGGGUGGAGGCGCCUAGCCCGUUUUUUAGAACCUUGCCUGCAGCUACAUUAGUAGCUAGAAUCAGGGAGCCACCACUGCACCAACUUGACAUUUAGUUACCAAGGGAAACUCUAUGCUACUUAUUCAAAAUCCAGAAGCACGGGACCCACUAGGCCCCAAUGUGGCUCCGCCCCUGAUGCCAAGAAUCUACAGCAGCCCUAGUCUCGCCCGCCAGUGUAAUAUGAGGUCUCAAUACUGUUCCUGGCAAUGAAUCUUACAAGCAUGACUUCCUCAUGUUAUCUGAUCUGGUGAAUAGUCGAAAUUGCACAUUGCUCAGCAACAACGGACACAUAGGGCUCCAAAAAAUAUCCCUUACAAGCAACAGUAAGGUUGAUGCUUUCUUCAUCAGUACUCUUCAGAUUGGCUAGUAGAACUGUGGGCGCAUCUUCUCCCUCUGCUGCAAAAAAUUCCAGGAUUGCCUUGCGUUUUCCAGAUGUGCUUGUGGUAUUAAACAAAUUCAGGGUCCGGAACCCAGCUUCUCUGAGCACUAGGUUGAGAUUCUGCAGAGAGGUUUUGAACUGUGAAAAAGCUACUGAUUUGUUGCAUGUAGAAGUAUUCUGCAUCCUUGUUGACAGAAGGUAGGACAAAAGAACUUUUGCCUUGGUAGAUGGAGUUGUUGAGGACACCCUUUCUUCUUGAACAUAAGCAUAAAGAAUUAAAGAUCAUAAAUGUUUGGAACUGGAGUCCGACACAUUGGACAUGUAGGGUUACCAUUCACAUACACCAAUGUCCAGAUACACUGAAAGCAAAAAAAGUGAGCACAGGAUGUGACAACCUUCUUGACAGUCGAGGAGCGACAAAUUACACAAUCUUCAGCUUCCAACAUCUUCUCUAGUUCAGGUUUCUUUGACACAUCUGUUUAGUCACGGGAAGAUUUUAUUAGAUCCGGUACAUUUGAGCUACAAACGAAGAAAAUGAGCUAUAGAAAGCAAGAAAUGAAGGCAAGGAGGAAAUGAGGUGCAUAAAUGAUCAAGAAAUGAAGAAAUAGAGUAUUCCCGAUCCUAUUAGGAAAAUGAAUCCCAGUUGAAAUAGGAAUCCUGGAUCAACUAGGAAUCCUGUGGCAUGAGGAGUCCUGAUGAUACUAGGAAACCUGAGGGCACUAGGAGACAAUGUGGCUUCAUGAUGACUCUAGUAGAUAAAAGAUAUUUUGGCAAAAUAUCUCUACAAGAUAAGAGAUAUUUUGGCAAUAAAGGAGUUCUAAUUCAAUUUGGCUUUUACAACCUAGAAGAGAUAUUUUGGCAAAAAUAUCUCUAGAAGAUAAGAGAUAUUUUGACAAAAGAUAGAGUCCUAGCUAAUUCAAUUUAGCUUCUACAACGUAGAAAAGAUAUUUUGGAGAAAGGAAUAGUUCUAAUUCAAUUUGAUUUCAACUUACUUUUGGAGGAUUUCUAUUGGUAGAAGAAGUAGAGAAAUAUCAUGACACCAAGGCUAUGUUGAGCAAUAUAAAUAGGAGAGAGUUAGACAUCAAAAAUCAUCUUUCAGACGCUAAAUCAAUUUCGCAACUCUCUCCCUUUUCUCUCUCAAAGUUUCGGCCUUCUUCCUUUGAAACAAUGAAGCAAACUCUAUCAUCUCCAUCACAUCCUUGCCGUAGCCUCCAUCAUCUUGAAGUUCAUCUUGCGUUCUUGAAGUUCUUCAAAAGUGUAUCCAUGUUCAUCUUUAUUUUGCUUUCGGUUUCCUAUGUUUGUAAUUCAGAACAUCUUCUUGUUUUGUUUUGUUGGAUUCGAAACUUUGUAAGAUUAAAGCUUAUAUAGUUGAUUUUAGUUUUUGAACCA